rnacentral:misc_RNA from 1 species
GAUGAAGAACGUAGCGAAAUGCGAUACGUAAUGUGAAUUGCAGAAUCCAGUGAAUCAUCGAAUCUUUGAACGCACAUUGCGCCCGCCAGUAAUCUGGCGGGCAUGCCUGUCCGAGCGUCAUUUCGAACCGUCAAGCCUGCGGCUUGUGUUGGGGACCUGCGGCUGCGCGCAGGCCCCGAAAACCAGUGGCGGGCUCGCUGUCAUCCCGGGCGUAGUAGUAGACCUCGCCCUGGGCGUGCCGCGGGCGCCGGCCGUUAAGACCAGCCCCAGGGCUACCAAAUAGGUUUGACCUCGGAUCAGGUAGGAAGACCCGCUGAACUUAAGCAUAUCAAUAAGCGGAGGA